rnacentral:lncRNA from 1 species
ACUCAUAAAAUCAUUUUUGAAAACCAAUAAAUUAGAAUAAAAUAUAAAAUUUUAUUCCUCUUUUAGAAAAUUAAUACCAAACUAAUAAAUAAUUGCCGAAAAACCCGAGUUGUUACAAUUGCGCCAUUAAUGACUGUAUGUUUUAUUGGUGUAUACCAAAUAUAUACUGUGUUGAUAAUGAUUUUGAGCUAAAAUUUUGUUUCAUGACAAGAUUUUUGUCAUUUAUUUGAAUAGAUAUAUCUUAG